rnacentral:rRNA from 1 species
AUUGUCUGUACUGGUGAGAUGAGUCUCUACCUUCUGAGGAACUCUCAUGCCAUUCGUUUGGUGUGAUGGGAAAUCAGGACUGUUACUUUGAAAAAAUUAGAGUGUUUAAAGCAGGCUAACGUCUGAAUACAUUAGCAUGGAAUAAUGAAAUAGGACGGAUUGAUUCUAUUUCGUUGGUUUCUAGGGUCACCGUAAUGAUUAAUAGGGAUAGUUGGGGGCAUUAGUAUUCAAUUGUCAGAGGUGAAAUUCUUGGAUUUAUUGAAGACUAACUACUGCGAAAGCAUUUGCCAAGGAUGUUUUCAUUAAUCAAGAACGAAAGUUAGGGGAUCGAAGACGAUCAGAUACCGUCGUAGUCUUAACCAUAAACUAUGCCGACUAGGGAUCGGACGCAGUUAAUUUUAUAAUGACGUGUUCGGCACCUUACG